GACGAACGCUGGCGGUGUGCUUAACACAUGCAAGUCGAACGGAAAGGCCCUUUUGGGGGUACACGCGUGGAGAACGGGUGAGUAACACGUGAGUAACUUGCCCUCACUUCUGGGAUAACAGUCGGAAACGGUUGCUAGUAAUGGAUAUGAGCUUGCUCGUCAUCUUGUGGGUUGGAAAGAUAUUUUUGGUUGGGGAUGGACUCGUGGCCUAUCAGCUUGUUGGUGAGGUAGUGGUUCACCAAGGAUUCGGCGGGUGGUCGGCCUGAGAGGGCGGCCGGCCACAUUGGGACUGGGAAACAGCCCAAGCUCCUACGGGGAGGAGCAGUUGGGAAAAGUGCACAAUGGGCGGGAGUCUGAUGCAGCAACGCCGCGGGCGGGAAGACGGGCUUCGGGUUGUAAACCGGUUUCAAUUGUGACGAAGCUUUUUGUGACGGUAGCAGUAGAAGAAGCACCGGCUAACUACGUG
rnacentral:rRNA from 1 species